AGUGUGUGUGUGUGUGUGUGUGUGUGAGAGAGAGAGAGAGAGAGAGAGAGAGGUAUUUUUCAUGACCGGAUAAGCCAGUGCAAAACACACACACACACACACACACACACACACA